rnacentral:misc_RNA from 1 species
AACGCAUCUUGCGCUCCUUGGUAUUCCGAGGAGCAUGCCUGUUUGAGUGUCAUUAAUAAUAUCAACCCUCUUCUCUUGUUGAGUGUUGGAUGUGGGGGUUGUUGCUGGCUCCUCUUUUGUGAGGGUCAGCUCCCCUAAAAUCCAUUAGCGGAACAAUUUGUUGACCGUUCGUUGGUGUGAUAAGUUAUCUACGCUAUUGAACGUGAGGCAGUUCAGCUUCUAACUGUCCAUUGACUUGGACAAAUCUUUUUUUUUCAUUGAUUGUGACCUCAAAUCAGGUAGGACUACCCGCUGAACUUAA